rnacentral:rRNA from 1 species
AUUGAACGCUGGCGGAAUGCUUUACACAUGCAAGUCGAACGGCAGCACGGGGGCAGCCCUGGUGGCGAGUGGCGAACGGGUGAGUAAUACAUCGGAACGUGCCCGGUCGUGGGGGAUAACGUAGCGAAAGUUACGCUAAUCCCGCAUACGAUCUGAGGAUGAAAGCGGGGGAGCUUCCGGCCUCGCGCGUUCGGAGUGGCCGAUGUCAGAUUAGGUAGUUGGUGGGGUAACGGCCUACCAAGCCGACGAUCUGUAGCUGGUCUGAGAGGACGACCAGCCACACUGGGACUGAGACACGGCCCAGACUCCGACGGGAGGCAGCAGUGGGAAAUUUUGGAGAAUGGGCGCAAGCCUGAUCCAGCCAUUCCGCGUGCAGGACGAAGGCCUUCGGGGUGUAAACUGCUUUUGUACGGAACGAAAAGGCUCUGGCUAAUACCUGGGGCUCAUGACGGUACCGUAAGAAUAAGCACCGCCUAACUACGU